AACUGAAGACCUUUUGGCUAAGAUCAAGUGUAGCAUCUGUUCUAAUUAGUUUAAUAUCUGAUACAUCUUCUAUCUGAAGAUAACAUAUUAAGUGGAUUUUUGGAGCAGGGGGUUGGAAUAGGAGCUUGCUCUGUCCACUCCAAAAAAAAAAAAAAAAAGUUAUUCUAA
ensembl:snRNA U2 U2 spliceosomal RNA